UACAGAGGGUGCGAGCGUUAAUCGGAAUUACUGGGCGUAAAGGGCGCGUAGGCGGUUAUGUAAGUUAGAUGUGAAAUCCCCGGGCUUAACCUGGGAAUGGCAUUUGGGACUGCAAGGCUUGAGUUUGGCAGAGGAGACUGGAAUUCCUGGUGUAGCAGUGAAAUGCGUAGAUAUCAGGAGGAAUACCGAUGGCGAAGGCAGGUCUCUGGGCUAGAACUGACGCUCAUGCACGAAAGCGUGGGGAGCAAACAGG
rnacentral:rRNA from 1 species